rnacentral:miRNA from 1 species
GCUGACACAUCCUGGCCAAUCUCCAGCAGACCCUCCCUCCCAGACCCUCCCACCUCCUGAACAGCAUCCAUGUUGAAGCUGCCUUUAACAUGGAUGCCUUCAACAUGGAUGCUGUCCAGGAGGUGGGAGGGUCUGGGAGGGAGGGUCUGCUGGAGAUUGGCCGGGAUGUGUCAG